rnacentral:rRNA from 1 species
CCCCAUGUCAGGCGGGACUACCCGCUG